AAGGGAGCGUAGGCGGACAUUUAAGUCAGGGGUGAAAUCCCGGGGGCUCAACCUCGGAAUUGCCUUUGAUACUGGGUGUCUUGAGUAUGAGAGAGGUGUGUGGAACUCCGAGUGUAGAGGUGAAAUUCGUAGAUAUUCGGAAGAACACCAGUGGCGAAGGCGACACACUGGCUCAUUACUGACGCUGAGGCUCGAAAGCGUGGGGAGCAAACAGGAUUAGAUACCCGGGU
rnacentral:rRNA from 1 species